ACCCUUUUUCUUGCGCUCGGUUCUUAAUCUUCUUCUCCAUCUAGGAUUUACAUAUCCAGAGAAAACCUCAAUUGAAACCUCCGUCGCUACCACCAUCAGCACCAACACCAAUGUUGUAACCACCAUCACCAUCACCACCUCCGACACCACAAUCACCGACGGGGAGGUGAUGGUUGUGGCUUUUUGUUAUAGUAUUAGGGGUGGUGGUAGUGGUGAUAGCAGCAUUGAUGUUGUUGUUUAUUGUAGAGGUGGUGACAGCGAUGGCUUAAUUUUAUUGUUUCAUCUCCUUUUAAGGAAAAACUAAUUUGAUUCAUUCCGCUACAUCGUUUUGUAAGUUUUUAUUUGCUAGUCCGCAAGCUAGAUGUUGUUCAUAUUGGUUCUUAUACUACAUAUAAGCCUUAGCGAUAAAGAUUAUAAGGUUGUAAAUUGAUCUUAUGUGACUGUUAUAUAUUGUUAUGUAUUAAUAAGCUGAAUUUAUUAAUUUGCAGUAUCGUUUUAGUAUGUAUUGUUGAGUUUCUCUGUUUACAAUAAUAUUGUUGAGAAGAGAUUAUUAUUGACCAAAAAUGGAUGGUAGUGGACGUAGAGGGGGUAGGGGAUGCUGGUGUCAGUGGUGGGGGUAAUGUUGAUGUCUAUGAACUCCAAGCAUUUUUUGAUAGGAUGAUGUUUCAACUCUUCACCGCUACGCUCUGAUCAUAAAUGCUUUAUAUGUAGCUUGUUUUGUUACUCUUUUGGUUGUAGAAUGCUAAUUAUCCCACAACAAGAAGUUGCAUGUACUGAAUUUUUUGGUUUCUCCCAGUUAAAUAAAUGUUGUAAGAUCCAUUUUGUUUUGA